UCCGUAGGGCGCAAGCGUUAUCCGGAAUUAUUGGGCGUAAAGAGCUCGUAGGCGGUUUGUCGCGUCUGCCGUGAAAGUCCGGGGCUCAACUCCGGAUCUGCGGUGGGUACGGGCAGACUAGAGUGAUGUAGGGGAGAUUGGAAUUCCUGGUGUAGCGGUGGAAUGCGCAGAUAUCAGGAGGAACACCAAUGGCGAAGGCAGAUCUCUGGGCCGUAACUGACGCUGAGGAGCGAAAGCAUGGGGAGCGAACAGG
rnacentral:rRNA from 1 species